CAGUCGCCACGGUAAUACGGAGGGUGCAAGCGUUAAUCGGAAUUACUGGGCGUAAAGCGCACGCAGGCGGUCUGACAAGUCAGAUGUGAAAUCCCCGGGCUUAACCUGGGAACUGCAUUUGAAACUGUCAGGCUGGAGUCUUGUAGAGGGGGGUGGAAUUCCAGGUGUAGCGGUGAAAUGCGUAGAGAUCUGGAGGAAUACCGGUGGCGAAGGCGGCCCCCUGGACAAAGACUGACGCUCAGGUGCGAAAGCGUGGGGAGCAAACAGGAUUAGAUACACGCGUAGUCCCUGUCUCUUAUAC
rnacentral:rRNA from 1 species